rnacentral:rRNA from 1 species
AGAGGCGAUGAAGGACGUGCUAAUCUGCGAUAAGCGUCGGUAAGGUGAUAUGAACCGUUAUAACCGGCGAUUUCCGAAUGGGGAAACCCAGUGUGAUUCGUCACACUAUCAUUAACUGAAUCCAUAGGUUAAUGAGGCGAACCGGGGGAACUGAAACAUCUAAGUACCCCGAGGAAAAGAAAUCAACCGAGAUUCCCCCAGUAGCGGCGAGCGAACGGGGAGCAGCCCAGAGCCUGAAUCAGUGUGUGUGUUAGUGGAAGCGUCUGGAAAGGCGUGCGAUACAGGGUGACAGCCCCGUACACAAAAAUGCACAUACUGUGAGCUCGAUGAGUAGGGCGGGACACGUGGUAUCCUGUCUGAAUAUGGGGGGACCAUCCUCCAAGGCUAAAUACUCCUGACUGACCGAUAGUGAACCAGUACCGUGAGGGAAAGGCGAAAAGAACCCCGGCGAGGGGAGUGAAAAAGAACCUGAAACCGUGUACGUACAAGCAGUGGGAGCACGCUUAGGCGUGUGACUGCGUACCUUUUGUAUAAUGGGUCAGCGACUUAUAUUCUGUAGCAAGGUUAACCGAAUAGGGGAGCCGAAGGGAAACCGAGUCUUAACUGGGCGUUAAGUUGCAGGGUAUAGACCCGAAACCCGGUGAUCUAGCCAUGGGCAGGUUGAAGGUUGGGUAACACUAACUGGAGGACCGAACCGACUAAUGUUGAAAAAUUAGCGGAUGACUUGUGGCUGGGGGUGAAAGGCCAAUCAAACCGGGAGAUAGCUGGUUCUCCCCGAAAGCUAUUUAGGUAGCGCCUCGUGAAUUCAUCUCCGGGGGUAGAGCACUGUUUCGGCAAGGGGGUCAUCCCGACUUACCAACCCGAUGCAAACU